rnacentral:rRNA from 1 species
CAGCCGCCACGGUAAUACGGAGGGGGCUAGCGUUGUUCGGAAUUACUGGGCGUAAAGCGCACGUAGGCGGCUUGGUAAGUUAGAGGUGAAAGCCUGGAGCUCAACUCCAGAAUUGCCUUUAAGACUGCCGAGCUAGCAGGUGAGAGAGGUAAGUGGAAUUCCGAGUGUAGAGGUGAAAUUCGUAGAUAUUCGGAAGAACACCAGUGGCGAAGGCGGCUUACUGGCUCAUACUGGACGCUGAGGUGCGAAAGCGUGGGGAGCAAACAGGAUUAGAUACCCCUGUAGUCCCUGUCUCUAUACA